rnacentral:rRNA from 1 species
GUCAUAUGCUUGUCUCAAAGAUUAAGCCAUGCAUGUCUCAGUACAAGCCAAAUUAAGGUGAAACCGCGAAAGGCUCAUUAAAUCAGUUAUGGUUCCUUAGAUCGUACCCACAAUUACUUGGAUAACUGUGGUAAUUCUAGAGCUAAUACAUGCAAACAGAGCUCCGACCGGAGACGGGAGGAGUGCUUUUAUUAGAUCAAAACCAAUCGGUGGCGGGUUCGCUCGUCAUCGUACAACUUGGUGACUCUGAAUAACUUUACGCUGAUCGCACGGUCAUCGCACCGGCGACGCAUCUUUCAAAUGUCUGCCUUAUCAACUGUCGAUGGUAGGUUCUGCGCCUACCAUGGUUGUAACGGGUAACGGGGAAUCAGGGUUCGAUUCCGGAGAGGGAGCCUGAGAAACGGCUACCACAUCCAAGGAAGGCAGCAGGCGCGCAAAUUACCCACUCCCGGCACGGGGAGGUAGUGACGAAAAAUAACGAUACGGGACUCAUCCGAGGCCCCGUAAUCGGAAUGAGUACACUCUAAACCCUUUAACGAGGAUCAAUUGGAGGGCAAGUCUGGUGCCAGCAGCCGCGGUAAUUCCAGCUCCAAUAGCGUAUAUUAAAGUUGUUGCGGUUAAAAAGCUCGUAGUCGAAUUUGUGUCUCGCGCCGCCGGUUCAUCGUCCGCGGUGUUAACUGGCGAGUCGCGAGACGUCCUGCCGGUGGGCUUAGCUCGCGAGGGCGGCCCAACUCAAUCCUGCCGCGGUGCUCUUCAUUGAGUGUCGAGGUGGGCCGGCACGUUUACUUUGAACAAAUUAGAGUGCUUAAAGCAGGCUAAAACUUCGCCUGAAUAUUGUGUGCAUGGAAUAAUGGAAUAGGACCUCGGUUCUAUUUUGUUGGUUUUCGGAACCCCGAGGUAAUGAUUAAUAGGAACGGAUGGGGGCAUUCGUAUUGCGACGUUAGAGGUGAAAUUCUUGGAUCGUCGC